GUGCAUGCCUACUUCCCAACCGCUUGCAACCCUCUCCCUUACAACUCUUGCCCUCGUAAUAAUCUGGGAAGCAGCGUAAGCCUUACCUUGACAGUAAACAGCCUCUCCUUCAUCAACACUCUUGCCGGGCCUCCUCGUGGCAACACACGUUAACUGGGUGGCCCCAUGCUAACUCGGCCUGUACCAGCUGUGGGGAGGUACCGGUCAUCUUUGAUAUUUUCUUCUCCUUUCCUCGCCACCGGAGUAGCCCAUUUCCCAACAGCGUGUCACUCACGAAAUCGGUUCGUCACGCAGGUAUCCACUACUGCUCUGCAGCGACUUCCACCUAGAAUUCCUGAAACCAUUCAAGUGUACAGGCAAUGGGAGUGCUUGGUAACGGGCAGGACGGAAUGAUCUGGAAUCUCCUAGCCGGGCCCCUGCACGGUAGCAGCACGGGGCUUUUGGUUGUCGUCAGCAGCUGGGAUUUGAGUGGCAGCUACACCUGGUAGUCCUGUUUUAGGAACCACAGUGCUCACCCCAGCAGGGGAAAAGGUGUCUGAAACAUUGCCCACUCUAACUCUCUUAUUUAGAUAGGUGCAGUAGCCUAUCAGGACAUUCCGCUUCAGCGGUCGCUAACUAGAUACAAAUAAAUGUGUCCUUACGACUUAUACCAUGGAACAUCUCUUGGACGUGAGCCACGGCGCCGACAGGCCCGAAGGAAGGACGACGCUCAUCACAGCCGAGCUGAAGCGCCGACAGGCCCGAAGGAAGGACGACGCUCAUCACAGCCGAGCUGAAGCGCCGACAGGCCCGAAGGAAGGACGACGCUCAUCACAGCCGAGCUGAAGCGAUUUAUAACAAUGACAUCGCUGCAAAUAGUGUGAGACCAGACUCCUUGGUGAAGGGUCGCUCAGCCAUCCUUAACCAAGCUAGAGAAUGAAGGUUCACCCAGCCAUCCUUAAUAACCAAGCUCAGACUGCUAGAGACUGAAGGUUCACCCAGCCAUCCUUAACCAAGCUCAGACUGAAGGUUCACCCAGCCAUCCUUAACCGAGCUAGAGAAUGAAGGUUCACCCAGCCAUCCUUAACCGAGCUAGAGAAUGAAGGUUCACCCAGCCAUCCUUAACCGAGCUAGAGAAUGAAGGUUCACCCAGCCAUCCUUAACCGAGCUAGAGAAUGAAGGUUCACCCAGCCAUCCUUAACCGAGCUAGAGAAUGAAGGUUCACCCAGCCAUCCUUAACCGAGCUAGAGAAUGAAGGUUCACCCAGCCAUCCUUAACCGAGCUAGAGAAUGAAGGUUCACCCAGCCAUCCUUAACCGAGCUAGAGAAUAAAGGUUCACCCAGCUAUCCUUAACCGAGCUAGAGACUGAAAUUUCACCCAGCCAUCCACCUCAAGAAGUCCACUUAA